AGAAAACCCUAGUGGGCGAAUUAUCAAAAGAAGAAAUCUGCCAUACAUAUAUAUUAUUAGUUUGUGGGUUUCAUAAGAAAAAAAAGCAUAUCGUUAGACGGCAGUUUUGGAAAGAAAGUUGCAUAUUAUUUUGAGGGGUGAUUUUGGGCUGGGCCUUUGUUGUUCAACGAAAGAAAGGAAAACAUAUUGAUAUAUACUAUUAAUUCAUAACAUAACCGAGGAACAGGAAAUUAACGAUAACGGCGUCAGAUGAACGGUGCCAGAAAUUACAAUUUCGCCAUGUCACCAUUCGAACCCCGUGAAUCGUCGGCGAUGGUCUGCAGGAAGUCGGAUAACCCAUCUAGGGUUCGUCUUCACCCCUGCCGGAUCUGGUACACGCAACACCAAUGAAGUGGUUAAGCUGGAAACCCAAGGCCACCAGAACUUCAUCGACUGUCAGAGUAGCAUACGACCAUUGAUCGCCGCUCAUUGCCGCUGCCGGAGCCAUGGCAGGGGUUUAAUCUUCGCCGGCCAGCCUCCAUUGUAGGUGAUCUUAACUUGGAAGUCAUAACAGUAGCGCGCCAGCAGACUAUAGUCACUGCAUAAACCGCCGGAUUCGGGCCGCCUUGGUGGCGGCGCUAUUUCAACGUAAAACCCUACCUGCCGCCUACUCGAAGAUGUUGGUGGCUUGCUGCAUGGUCCCGACGAAGCUACAAGGGUUCCGAUGGUCACGGUGAUGUUGUGGUCAUGGUUAUCGGCCGCGACGAUGGUGUUCCGGCGAAAAAGGUUAGACCCGAUCUGGUGGCAACGCGGACCGCCGGCCAUGGUGUUUUAUGGUGAGACUUAAGUUUGAACUAGCUUAAGAACAAUUGAUCAUAACUUACUUUUCUGGUUAUUAUAAGAAGGCGGCAACUAUUGACGAAAGAUAUAUCACGGCUGGAACACAGAGGGACGGAAGCAACAUCAAAUCAGGGGCGGCCAUUAAUAAUCUGGGACAAAUACUUUUGAGCAGCCGGACAUCAUCUAGAGACAGCGGGACUAAUUUUGGAGAAGGUGUUUAGCAAAGAUCAAGGCCACGGAAUCGUUGGGUUGAAGCAAGAAGCUUGGAGAACAAGGAAUAACCGGGUUUUGUCAUUCGGUUUCUUUUAUUUUCUAAGUCUUUUGUUUUAAUUCCAUGAAUUCAUUAUUUGAACUUUGUUUGAUUAUUUUUGAGACUUUGUUCGUAAUGAUUAUUGGCUAGACUCCUUGUUACUA